GACGAACGCUGGCGGCGUGCUUAACACAUGCAAGUCGAACGGAAAGGCCCUGCUUGCAGGGUACUCGAGUGGCGAACGGGUGAGUAACACGUGGGUGAUCUGCCCUGCACUUCGGGAUAAGCCUGGGAAACUGGGUCUAAUACCGGAUAGGAGCCAUUUUUAGUGUGAUGGUUGGAAAGUUUUUUCGGUGUAGGAUGAGCUCGCGGCCUAUCAGCUUGUUGGUGGGGUAAUGGCCUACCAAGGCGGCGACGGGUAGCCGGCCUGAGAGGGUGGACGGCCACAUUGGGACUGAGAUACGGCCCAGACUCCUACGGGAGGCAGCAGGGGGGAAUAUUGCACAAUGGGCGUAAGCCUGAUGCAGCGACGCCGCGUGGGGGAUGACGGCCUUCGGGUUGUAAACUCCUUUCGCUAGGGACGAAGCUUUUUGUGACGGUACCUAGAGAAGAAGCACCGGCUAACUACGUG
rnacentral:rRNA from 1 species